rnacentral:rRNA from 1 species
GACGAGCGCUGGCGGCGUGCUUAACACAUGCAAGUCGAACGGAAAGGCCCUGCUUUUGUGGGGUGCUCGAGUGGCGAACGGGUGAGUAACACGUGAGUAACCUGCCCUUGACUUUGGGAUAACUUCAGGAAACUGGGGCUAAUACCGGAUAGGAGCUCCUGCUGCAUGGUGGGGGUUGGAAAGUUUCGGCGGUCGGGGAUGGACUCGCGGCUUAUCAGCUUGUUGGUGGGGUAGUGGCUUACCAAGGCUUUGACGGGUAGCCGGCCUGAGAGGGUGACCGGCCACAUUGGGACUGAGAUACGGCCCAGACUCCUACGGGAGGCAGCAGUAGGGAAUAUUGCACAAUGGGCGGAAGCCUGAUGCAGCAACGCCGCGUGCGGGAUGACGGCCUUCGGGUUGUAAACCGCUUUCGCCUGUGACGAAGCGUGAGUGACGGUAAUGGGUAAAGAAGCACCGGCUAACUACGUG